CGUUAAUUUUACUUUGUCUCCGCUAUAUACGAACAGGGAAUCACUCAAUCACAUUCUACGAUAAGGGACAAUGAUCUUGAUCUACUUGUUCGUGGUAUCUCACAAGUAUCACCCAGGAUCAUCAGGCUAUAGAUUAGUACAAGAAUAUUUAUCUCGUAAACAUCCAGACGGCGAGCAAGAUAUUCGGUUGAAUCAUAAUAUAAUAUAAUGUAAUUGUUACUGUAAAAGACGAGGUCAGCAAUGUUUAUAAAGAGAGAAAUAAUUCGUCAGUUUCGAAAUCUUUAACUUUUUAAUAUCGACAUACGUAAAUAUCUCAGCGCGUGUUCACCCCCCUUUAAAACAAAGAAUACCAUUCGCUGGCUUCUUGGUUAACUUCCGUUUCCUGACUUCCUCUGUAUUAAGUUGCUUACUUCCGUUUCCUUUCGAUUUAUAUUUUUGACUUUUCGAUUUAUUUUUAUGAGCCGCGGCUUUGACUUGUCAUUUGGGAGUUUCGUAUUAUAAAUAAAAGUUUCGACUUGCGUUUAAUUUUCAUGUAUAUCCUUAGAGGUUUGAAAUGUAUUUUGCAGUUUUGAAGUAUAUGCUUUAAACUUUCGUUUUAUUUUUUUGAGUUUGAACUUCAUCUUGAUAUUUUCAACAUUGUAUUGAGAGUUAUAACAUGUUGAUAUAAUGUUUGACUAUUACUUGUUGACUUGAAAUAGUUUUGACCGGAACGGAACGCCAUACUAGAAUCUAUCUACCGCAACGUUGUUGUCAACCGUAUUUGAACAUUUGUACUGUAUUAAAGUUUAUAUAUUAACUGUCUGUGUACGCGUUCUAUGCAAAUUCUG